rfam:Triticum aestivum genome assembly, contig: Triticum_aestivum_CS42_TGACv1_scaffold_306854_4AS
UAAAUACUCUCUCCUCCCAGAAAUACUUGUCGGAGAAGUAGAUGUACCUAGAUGUAUUUUAGUUCUAGAUACAUCCAUUUUUAUCCACUUAUGCGACAAUAAUUCUGGACAGAGGGAGUAGUCA